UAAAGCGCUGGUUAAGGAGCUAAGCACUCCUGCCCCAGGAGCCAAAGAUAUCUAUUUCCCCGCACAAUACUCUCAGUCUACUUUUGGGCAGUUCAAAUCAUGCCUUUGGAAGCAAUGGUUGACAUAUUGGAGAAGCCCUGACUAUAACCUUGCCCGAUACUUCUUCACCUUUGUUGCUGCCCUCAUGCUUGGCACGAUCUUUUGGCGGGUUGGCACAAAAAGGUUACAAGACAACAGCGAUGGGACAUGCCAAAUUUGAGUGGACUGAUUGUUAGACCUCAUCCCACCUUGAGCAAGUUCCAAGGCAGGAAUGGUAUGUUGGUACUGUCGGCACUUAAAUCCUGAGAAAUUUUACUUUUGCUCUUGUACUUAUUGGUCAUAUGCUUUCUAGUAUUAGAAAUUCAUGCAAUUUUGGUGGUUUAAACAAGCUAGCCAGAUUAACUAUACAUGUUAUUAUUUUAUGAGCUUAUUACUAUACUGUUGUAAAAUUUUCCUUCGUAAGGUUCAUAAGAUUGUGUAUUUAUCAUCUAACCUAUUCAUAAGAUCACACAAAUCACUGGUUGGGUUUCUCACUCUCUCCUCACAUGAACAUUGAUGCAUCUACAGACCCACAUCAGCAUCAUCAUCAUUACCACCAUCGUCAGCAACAUCAUCAUCAUUAUCAUCAAACACAAGCUGCAGCUGCUGUUUCUCCUGUAGUUCCAACCAGCUUCUUUCUAGCUCCUCAGAUGGAAACACAAGGUGGGGCCCUUUAUUCCCAAUUGUCUAUAAUGCCACUGAAAUCUGAUGGCUCCCUUUGUAUCCUGGAAGCUCUUACAAGAUCACAACAAGGUGAAGGAGUGAUGCUAGCUUCCUCUCCCAAGCUUGAAGAUUUCCUGGGUGGUGCAACCAUGGGAGCUCACCAGUACGGAUCCAUUGACAGGGAAGCUCAUAGGCCUUCUUUAUUUGUGAAAUUGGAAGCUGGAAUUGAAAUUGAAAUGUGUACUAGAAAAGAAGGAAAAGAUUAUUGUGUGAAUCAGUCUUUUUCUUUUAUGUGUAAUUAUCUAGCAUA